rnacentral:lncRNA from 1 species
GGUCGGAAGUCUCAUCAUCUGCUUCCUUCGGGUUAAACACGUCGGCCAGGUCUGAGUAUGGGUGUGGCAGUCCGGGUAGCAGGCUCAUGCCGUGCCUCUCUAGGGCAAUGCAUGGCGGGGGCGGGCGGAAGCAGUUCUUCAGGCAGUAGGGAGAGUGGAAGGUGCAGCGGCCUUUGAUCCAGUCGACUUCGGGGGCGUGGACUCGGAGCCAGCGGAUGCCUAGGACCACAGAGAAGUUCGGUGAAGGUACGAUGUCAAAUUCGAUGGACUCCUGGUGGUUCUGGUGGAUACACACCAGGGGCUCCGUGUAGAGCCAGACAGGCUCGUUGCCAAUCAGCGAGCCGUCCACGGAUUGGACCGGCUGUGGGUACGGCUUCUCGUAGAGCUCGACGUAGUGCUCUUGGGCGAACUUCUCAUCCAUGAAGUUGCCGUCAGCUCCCGAAUCCACCAGGGCCUGGACCGCGACGCUGUGGUAGGGGUUCACUCUCACCAUGAGCAGCAGGAAGAGGUGGGCGCGAUUGAUGUCCGGAUGGACUUCGCUGGGCAACCAGCUGCUGACCAUCCACCUCUCUGGAGCAGGUGAGUCGAUCCAGGUCAGGUUCCGGGGGCGGGCCUCGGGGGGCAGCCUGAGCAUAGCUCUUCUCUCUGCCAGCUUCUCUUCUAUUUGCAGGAUGAGCACAAUCAGACUGUCUAGGGAAUCCGGCUGAGGGACCCGGAAUAGAUAGUGCCUGAUCUCCUCGUUGAGCCCCUGGCACAAGUGGGCCUGCAGGACUUCAUCUGGCCAGCCCAAGAUGGGUACCAGGCUCUGGAACUCAUCGAUGUACUCAGUGGCAGAGCGGCCGCCCUGCCUGAUGGUGAACAUGGCCUCUUCUGCCACACGCAGUGCCUGGCGGUACUCAAACACUUCGGACAUGGCCUCCAGGAAGGCUGGGAAGUCUCCGAUCAGGGGGCUGUUUUCCUGCAGUAGAGCUUUGGCCCAUUCUAAUGCCAAGCCGGACAGGUGAUUGAUGACAUAGCCAACUCUCAGACGGUCGUUAUAGAACAUUCUUGGGUAGCUCUGUAAGGUCAGUUGGCAGAGUACGAUGAACUCGUGGAAUUCUCUGCGAUCGCCAGAGAAGUGCUUUGGGGCGGGCAGUUGGCCUGCAUUGAUCCCUUUGAUCAAGAUCUCUUCUGCUACUCUCUGUUGCUCUUUGAGGUCUUGCAUUCGGAAGUACAGCGAGAUGAUGGACCUCACCAUGGCCAUAAGUUCUGCGGUUGAGUGCUCGGUCUGGUUUUGCUCUUGAGGAGUCUCCUCCCUUCCCGAUUCCUUCAGGCACGGUGCUCGAUCCCCAAUGGAAGGAAAUGGAGGCAGACCCAUCUUGCAGGUCAUCACCAGGAAGGAGAUGAGACUCAUGUCCUGGAGACGAAUACCCCACUGGAGGUGGCGUGAAGGGGAGAUGGCUGCUUUCUCCUGGGAAGGGAGCAGAUGCCUGGCCCAGGACCAAAUCAAAAGGUCUGAAAAAUGAUAUUCAUUGUCCUAAUGUGUAAAUUUCGACAAUUUGCAAAUUUGUAGAUUCUUUAGAAUAGAACUAACUCAAGCCCUUCAUUCUGCAGCUGAGGCUCACUGCCCCCAGUGGGCAGUGGGUCCAGGGGGUUUCUGAGGACAGGGCAUGACCCAGCCCUGCUGCCCCCAAGAUGGCACCUGGCUUGGAGGGGUGAGGGGCCCUGUUAGUCUGACUUUGAAGAAGACCAGCCUUCCAGACUCGCUUGGUGCCCUGACAGGAGCCCUGGGCUCCCCCAGUGUUGCCUGGGUCUGACUUUGCCUCAGUGAAAACUGCCUCGAAUUCUUUCUUGCACCGAUGGGCAGAUGGGCAGUGUCGGAGGAUCGUGUCAUCUGUCCCGUGGCGCUGGUUGGCUUGGUCAAGUCAGUGUUCAAACUAUCUCCUGCUCUUUCAAGGGGAUCUGGGGCUCUAGAAGAUUAGAGGACUUGGAGAGGUUAGUGACUUGCUCGAGGUCGGCUAGGAAGCAAGACCCAGGAUUCCAACUCAGGUCUGUGUGAUUCCUCUGCAAAAUGGAGAGGUGGAAGGAUGGAUGUCAGGUCUGAUGGAUGGAUGGAUGCCUACAUCAAGAUACAUGCAUAGAUGGAGAGAUGGCUGGCUACCUCAUGAAUGCUGGUAAGAUGGAUGAGUGAAUUGAAGCACAGGUGGUGGAAGGAGAGAGGAAUGAGAGAGGAUAGUCAAUUUCCCACCAAGAUCAAAGGCUUACUUGAUCUUUGAAGAGAGGUUCCCUCUGAAUGGAGCUUGCUGGUGAAGCUCCUGCCUUCUGUUCUGCUUCUGAGCGCACUGACUGGCUCAGGUGGCUCUGGGACAACAGGUGGGAUGCCAGCUUACAGGGACCAAGUCCCAGCUGUGGUGCUGGAGCUGCUCAGUGGCAACUCUCCGUCUCUGCUGCUUUCACGCAGCACUGACGAAGAGCAGGCAUCCGCCUUUCCACUGGCUCUCCUGGAUGACUAAGCCCUAAGCCCCAACCGCA